UACAGAGGUCUCAAGCGUUGUUCGGAUUCAUUGGGCGUAAAGGGUGCGUAGGCGGCGCGAUAAGUCGGAUGUGAAAUCUCGGGGCUUAACUCCGAAACUGCAUUUGAUACUGCGGUGCUUGAGGACUGGAGAGGAGACUGGAAUUUACGGUGUAGCGGUGAAAUGCGUAGAUAUCGUAAGGAAGACCAGUGGCGAAGGCGGGUCUCUGGACAGUUCCUGACGCUGAGACACGAAGGCCAGGGGAGCAAACGGG
rnacentral:rRNA from 1 species